CACACCGCAUCCCAGUUAUGCAAAUGCAGCCGUCUUGUUUAGACAGGAAAAUGAUCCAUGCAAACUCUUUUCUCUGCUGCGCAUUCAGUCACUGCAGCAGAACAAACGCAGCACGCCAACGGUUUCCCUCAUGCAUCUGAGUUUGAAAACACGUCAGUCAAGUGGCGCAAAAAUGACGAAUCUGGAGAUCGCUUCCUCUUUGCAUGGCAGCAAUUUUAUUUGUCUGAAUAGCGUGGGCCAUCUGUAGGAUGAGAGCAGGAGCGGCGCUGACCAGCCGACUCUUUGCAUAGCAUGCAGGAAGGAUCGGCCGCUCUCACUCCAUCCUGAACCUCCAUUGAGCAGGUAGGACCAGCAAUGAAAAAGAGACAUCACUUUAACUGAAUGGGAGCAGAGAGCAUGAGUCAAAUCACACGUUCAUGCAGACAGAAGACAAAAACAACAGACGGAACAGGUGGCCUGAAAACAGCAGUUUGAAAAGCUGACAAAAGGGCAGCGACUCAUUCCAGCAAACAAGGAAAACGCCCAAAGCAGAGAAAAACGCUGAAAGCUACUGUAGCAACGUCUGUCACCGUCACCCCACCCACAGCAGCAUCCAUCACUCAGGCCGCACACAUCAGAAAGAGGAUAUAUGCUGAGGGAAGCCGCGCUAAACCGUCUGCCAACCAGUACGCCCAGUCGCACAACCAGUUCAUCUGCUCCGUUUAUUGUUCUCCUGACAAAACAGCUGAUUGUUCCUCUGUGAAUCAAUAGCAAAACCAGCUCCCACAGACAUGGGGCCAAUAUCAGCAGCUGAUAUGUCUGAAAUCAGGCCAGAAUAUCAGCGUAUAUUCAUCAUGUCCCAUCGUUCCAGCGACCUGGUGGACACAUUGUGGCUGCUGCUGGUAACAGACUGACAUAAAACGGAUUAACAGAGUUACAGUGA